AACAAGAAAGUAAGCAAGGGCGCACGGAGGAUGCCUAGGCUUUCAGAGGCGAAGAAAGACGUGAUAAGCUGCGAUAAGCUUCGGGUAGUGGCAAAUACACUUUGAUCCGGAGAUUUCUGAAUGGGGCAACCCGGCUAUGUGAAGCAUAGUCAUUCUGUAUUUAUACGGAAGGCAAACCCAGGGAACUGAAACAUCUAAGUACCUGGAGGAGAAGAAAAUAAUAAUGAUUCCCCUAGUAGCGGCGAGCGAACGGGGAUUAGCCCAAACCUACUUUGUUUAGGCAAAGUAGGGGUUGUAGGACCAUAAUAUGACAAUAAAAAAGAAGUGGAACGUUUUGGAAAGAACGAUCAUAGAGGGUGACAAUCCCGUACACGUAAUUUUUUGUUUGAUAGUGGUAUCCUGAGUAAGACGGGACACGAGAAAUCCUGUUUGAAUCUGCCGGGCCCAUCCGGUAAGGCUAAAUACUCCUGAAAGACCGAUAGUGAACCAGUACCGUGAGGGAAAGGUGAAAAGUACCCCGAACAGGGGAGUGAAAAAGUACCUGAAACCGUGCGCUUACAAGCGGUCGGAGCUGCAUUUAUGUGGUGACGGCGUGCCUUUUGCAUAAUGAGCCUACGAGUUAGUCGUAGUUGGCAAGGUUAAGCCUUUAAGGGGCGGAGCCGAAGCGAAAGCGAGUCUGAACAGGGCGAACAAAGUCAGCUGCGCUAGACGCGAAACCAGGUGAUCUACCCAUGGUCAGGUUGAAGUUCCGGUAACACGGAAUGGAGGACCGAACCGCCAGACGUUGAAAAGUCUUCGGAUGAACUGUGGGUAGGGGUGAAAGGCCAAUCAAACCUGGAAAUAGCUCGUACUCCCCGAAAUGCAUUUAGGUGCAGCCUUGUUUUUACUCUUACAGAGGUAGAGCUACUGAUUGGACGAGAGGGCUUCACCGCCUAUCAACUCCUGAUAAACUCCGAAUGCUGUAAGAUAAUUAAACAGGAGUGAGGGCAUGGGUGCUAAGGUCCAUGUCCGAAAGGGAAAGAACCCGGACCAUCGGCUAAGGUCCCCAAAUAUAUGCUAAGUUGAACAAACGCGGUUCGAUUGCAGAGACAGCUAGGAUGUUGGCUUGGAAGCAGCCAUUCAUUUAAAGAGUGCGUAACAGCUCACUAGUCGAGCGAUCGAGCAUGGAUAAUAAUCGGGCAUAAGCAUAUUACCGAAGCUAUGGAUGGCCCCUCUUGCAAAAGGGGGGCUGUGGUAGGGGAGCAUUCCAUAUGCCUUGAAGCGUUGCGGCGAUGCAGCGUGGAGCGUAUGGAAAAGCAAAUGUAGGCAUAAGUAACGAUAAUGCGGGCGAGAAACCCGCACGCCGAAAGACUCAGGUUUCCUGAUCAACGCUAAUCGGAUCAGGGUUAGUCGGGACCUAACGCGUACCCGAAAGGGGAAGUGGAUGGAUAGCAGGUCAAUAUUCCUGCACCUCCCAUGCAAUAAAAGUGACGUAUAUCAAAUACUACUGGGCGCUGACGGAAUAGCGCGCUGAGCCUAGGCUUCGGCCAAAGCGAAGUAGGGUAUGAUGUACCAAGAAAAGCGAGCAUGGGAGCCCGUACCGUAAACGGACACACGUAGUUGGGUUGAGUAUACUGAGGCGCUCGAGUGAUUCAUGGCUAAGGAACUCGGCAAAUUAGCCCCGUAACUUCGGGAGAAGGGGCGCCCUUGUAGCGAUAUGAGGGCCGCAGAGAAAUGGCGCAUGCGACUGUUUAUCAAAAACACAUGGCUUUGCAAAAUCGAAAGAUGACGUAUAAGGCCUGACACCUGCCCGGUGCUGGAAGGUUAAGAGGAGAGGUUAGCUUCGGCGACGCUUUGAAUUGAAGCCCCAGUAAACGGCGGCCGUAACUAUAACGGUCCUAAGGUAGCGAAAUUCCUUGUCGGGUAAGUUCCGACCUGCACGAAUGGUGUAACGAUGUGCGCACUGUCUCAGCCAUGAGCUCGGUGAAAUUGUAGUAUCGGUGAAGAUGCCGAUUACCCGCAACGGGACGGAAAGACCCCGUGAACCUUUACUGCAACUUAACGUUGCUCGUGGGUAAAUGAUGUGUAGGAUAGGACGGAGACUUUGAUGCUGCUUCGCCAGGAGUAGUUUAGUCGCCCUUGAAAUACGUCCCUUUAUUUAUCUGUGGGCUAACCCGAAUCACUUCGGGGACACCGUUUGGUGGGUAGUUUGACUGGGGUGGUCGCCUCCAAAAGAGUAACGGAGGCUUUCAAAGGUUUCCUCAGGACGAUUGGUAACCGUCCGUAGAGUGUAAUGGCACAAGGAAGCUUGACUGUGAGGCCGACAAGCCGACCAGGUACGAAAGUAGGACAUAGUGAUCCGGUGGUUCCGCAUGGAAGGGCCAUCGCUCAAAGGAUAAAAGGUACUCCGGGGAUAACAGGCUGAUCGCUCCCAAGAGCUCAUAUCGACGGAGCGGUUUGGCACCUCGAUGUCGGCUCGUCACAUCCUGGGGCUGGAGAAGGUCCCAAGGGUUGGGCUGUUCGCCCAUUAAAGUGGCACGCGAGCUGGGUUCAGAACGUCGUGAGACAGUUCGGUCCCUAUCUGUUGUGGGCGUAGGAUAUUUGAGAAGACCUGUCAUUAGUACGAGAGGACCGUGACGGACUCACCUCUGGUGUACCAGUUGUUCCGCCAGGAGCACUGCUGGGUAGCUACGUGGGGAAGGGAUAAGUGCUGAAAGCAUCUAAGCACGAAGCCUGCUUCAAGAUGAGAUAUCCUUAUCAGGGACGUUGUAGACUACGACGUUGAUAGGCUGCAGGUGUAAAGAUGGUAACAUCAAAGCCGAGCAGUACUAAUUGCCCGAAACUUUUAGU
rnacentral:rRNA from 1 species